rnacentral:rRNA from 1 species
UACGGAGGGGGCUAGCGUUGUUCGGAAUUACUGGGCGUAAAGCGCGCGUAGGCGGACCUACAAGUCGGGGGUGAAAGCCCGAGGCUCAACCUCGGAACUGCCUUCGAUACUGCGGGUCUCGAGUCCGAGAGAGGUGAGUGGAAUUCCUAGUGUAGAGGUGAAAUUCGUAGAUAUUAGGAAGAACACCAGUGGCGAAGGCGGCUCACUGGCUCGGUACUGACGCUGAGGCGCGAAAGCGUGGGGAGCAAACAGG